AUAGUACGACGUGAAAAUGUCAAAAAAAUGUCAUAGUAUAGUACGACGUGAAAAUGUCAUAAAAAAGGUCAUAGUAUAGUACGACGUGAAAAUGUCAAAAAAUUGUCAUAGUAUAGUACGACGUGGAAAUGUCAUAAAAAAGGUCAUAGUAUGGUAUGACAUGAAAAUAUCAUAAAAAAGGUCAUAGUAUAGUACGACGUGAAAAUGUCAUAAAAAAAGGUCAUAGUAUAGCACGACGUGAAAAUGUCAUAGUAUAGUAUGAUGUGAAAAUGUCAUAAAUAAUGUCAUAGUAUAGCACGAUGUGAAAAUGUCAUAAAAAAGGUCAUAGUAUAGUAUGAUGUGAAAAUGUCAUAAAAAAGGUCAUAGUAUGGUAUGACAUGAAAAUGUCAUA